CGCUCUUUUUCUUUUUUUUAGUUCCGACCACCUUUCGUAACGCCUCUGUCGUGAAUAUUAUCGAUCUUCCGCGCGGUUGUGAAGUGGUGUGCUCCUCUUGUGGCGUCGUAGUUUCUUGCGUUGGUAGUUGAGUAGGCGGUGCGGCGGCUCUAGAAGAUGACGCUCCAGGAGUAUAAAUGUUCUGCGCUGCAUCGUUGUUGAAGAUUGGCGGAAACUCCGGUAAGCGCAAGUUCGGAUUUUGAGCGAGCAUUGCGGAGUUGUAUU
rnacentral:lncRNA from 1 species